rnacentral:rRNA from 1 species
UACGGAGGGAGCGAGCGUUGUCCGCAUUUACUGGGCGUAAAGCGUGCGUAGGCGGCGCGGUAAGUCGGGUGUGAAAUCUCGGAGCUUAACUCCGAAACUGCAUUCGAUACUGCCGUGCUUGAGGACUGGAGAGGAGACUGGAAUUUACGGUGUAGCGGUGAAAUGCGUAGAUAUCGUAAGGAAGACCAGUGGCGAAGGCGGGUCUCUGGACAGUUCCUGACGCUGAGGCACGAAGGUCAGGGGAGCAAACGGG